rnacentral:rRNA from 1 species
UUCGCCUUCAUGAAGCUGGAAUUGCUAGUAAUGGCAGGUCAGCAUACUGCCGUGAAUACGUUCCCGGGCCUUGUACACACCGCCCGUCACACCAUGAGAGUUGGAAAUACCCGAAGCCUGUGAGCUAACUUAAAGAGGCAGCAGUCGAAGGUAGAGCCAAUGAUUGGGGUGAAGUCGUAACAAGGUAUC